rnacentral:lncRNA from 1 species
GUUUUGAAGUGUUCUUGCAUUAAACUUGAAAAUUACUUGAAGCAUAAUACGAUUUCUGAUAUUGAUGGAAUAGAAUUAUUUUCUGAGUUGAAAGUUUUAAGGGAAGCGAUAUCUGCAGACAUUUUUGGAGCAAUUAAUGUAUUGGAUUACAUUAAGAAAAUGAACUGUUGUUAUGCAAAUGCCUGGAUUGCUUAUAGAGUAUUAUUGACUAUUCCUGUCACAGUUGCCUCUGCCGAAAGAAGUUUUUCAAAGUUGAAGUUGAUUAAAUCUUAUCUUCGAUCAUCCAUGUCACAAGAGCGAUUGAACGGAUUAGCUAUGAUUUCUAUUGAAAAAAAUAUGUUGGACAAACUUGAUGUUAGUAGUUUGAUUACUAAUUUUAUAUCUCAAAAUGUGAGAAGGUUAAAUCUUAUGCUAGCC